rnacentral:rRNA from 1 species
GACGAACGCUGGCGGCGUGCUUAACACAUGCAAGUCGAACGGAAAGGCCUUUUCGGAGGUACUCGAGUGGCGAACGGGUGAGUAACACGUGGGUGAUCUGCCCUGCACUCUGGGAUAAGCCUGGGAAACUGGGUCUAAUACCGGAUAGGACCGCACUCCUGUGUGUGUGGUGGAAAGUUUUUUCGGUGUAGGAUGGGCCCGCGGCCUGUCAGCUUGUUGGUGGGGUAAUGGUCUACCAAGGCGGCGACGGGUAGCCGGACUGGGGGGUUGGUCGGCCACAUUGGGACUGGGAUAAGGCCCAGACUCCUACGGGAGGCAGCAGGGGGGGAUAAUGCACAAUGGGCGCGAGCCUGAUGCAGCGACGCCGCGUGGGGGGUGACGGCCUUCGGGUUGUAAACUCCUUUCGCCAGGGACGAAGCGUUUUGUGACGGUACCUGGAGAAGAAGCACCGGCUAACUACGUG